AUCCAGCGGGUACGCGAUGAUCCGGGACGGCCUCAACGGCGCUUGACGGCGCACGUAGGAAUUCGGCCGCCUAGCCGUUCCGGGGAGCCAAUGGCGAGACCGAACCCAGCCGUC
rfam:Planomonospora sphaerica DNA, contig: NODE_22_L87734_C26.